UAAUGACCAUUUCAGAUAUGAGUGUGGACUAGGAUGAGACCUUUUCAGCCCAUAGCUGCUCACCCUCCGCUUGACUACUUUGUUGAUAUGGUGCCAUACUCAUGGAGAUGGAUGGGAGGUGUAAUCCGAGAUAUGGAUACGCACCACAAAGUUCUCCCGUUCAGGGAUCAGCUAGAUUGUAUGAAGGCGGACACGAUUUUGGAUCAGCUGCUGACGUUUUGUAGGACUGGUUAGUGGUGGGCAUGGUACGAAUAUACCUAAGACGGUUACUUGGGAGCACGACCAUUACUCGUGGGGCGAGCGUGCGACCGUCACUAAUGCAUGGCGGGCCUUUAUGAAACUCCGGGUCCGGCGUUGGGAUCAGAGGAUGGGGACGCUAGUGGUGGUCGGACAUGCGACUCCGGUUCAGAGGUACAUGGAGUGGCGCGGAUCACUCGCAGCUUGAUUGACUACCCUGCGAGGCCUCAUGCAGAUGGCCGAGGAUAUGUAGCACCCGCAGGAUAGUAUGAGGCGUUGCUACGGACUAUACAGAGGAUGCGCUGGGAGAGCUUGGACCAUAUGGAGGCCCCCGAGAUAGCGGGAUAUGCAGCAAGGAUGGUUCAGCUAGCCGAGGGUGGUAUGCUAUAGGCAUAGGAGCUCGGACGUCUCGAGGAGCGUGUUCUAGAGGUCUGCAUCAAGCAGCAUAUGGUCGUGGUCGUGGUCAUGCCGGAAGUGGUGGUGGCAGAAGAGGGGGUGACAGAAGGGGUGGGCUAAAGGGGCUGGUGGCCGAGAAGAUAGGAGCAAACGAGUUAGUGGCCGAGGUGGUAGGGACAGAGGGGCUGGUUGUCUAGUAGAUGAUCCUAACGAGCAUGCUCUAGUUCUAGCUCCAGUCCAGCAGCCUCCGUCGACUUUAGAGAUCCCAUCGACUUCUUACCGACCCUCGACUUCAAAGCAUCCGUCGACUUCAAGGCGAUCGUCGACACCUCUAUAUACAUUGGAUUUAUUUUUAGAUCACAUGUUCUGGUCAUUGUCUGCACAGCCACCAGUUCGUCAUCCACAGGGUGAGCAGCCAGUUUGUAAUCAAUAGGGUGGCAUGGAGUUGGACUUCGAGUCCUUAUUCGAGGACUUUAACAUGUUUUCGAGUCGAGAUGAAAGUGUUUAAAAUAAUUAUUUUAAUUAAUUAAAAUAUUUAUACUAAUUAUUAUAUAAUUUUCCAUUUCUUAGGUUCUAGCUCCAGCUAAAGCACCAUCUACAUCUCCGGCUCCGGGGCCUACUCACGAGACCGCUGAGGAGCCAGCUCAAGAGCCUUCUCACCAGCCAUCUCAGGAGCCCAUCGACACACAGGUUCAUUCUUCUGCGCCUGUGGACCCGCCUCCUGCUGAGAUUGAGUCAUCUCCUAAAGCUGAUGACAUUUCGGCCACCGUCGUCUCCCAUAGGAAGCAUAUUUUGAACAAGGCCCUAAGGAAGAGAAGGCAGGAUGAUCAUGCCAUAGAGCAUGUACGGAUUAAGAGGAAGAAGGGGGAUGGAGAUGAUGAUGAGGGUGGUGGGGUUCGCCUUAGGCCUAAGGUUAUUCUAAAGGCUCCCACAUGUGGGACCUAGGGGGAUGGAG